AUACGGAGGAUCCGAGCGUUAUCCGGAUUUAUUGGGUUUAAAGGGUGCGCAGGCGGCCAUUUAAGUCAGCGGUUAAAUCGUGGGGCUCAACCCCAUUCUGCCGUUGAUACUGGGUGGCUUGAUUGCGGUCGAGGUUGGCGGAAUUCGUUGUGUAGCGGAUAAACGCAUAGAUAUGACGAAGAACAACGAUUGCGUAGGCAGCAGACCAAACCGCAAAUUACGCUCAUGCACAAAAUUACGGGGAUCGAACAGGAUAAUAUGCCCUGGUAGUGCGCACAGUAAACAAUGAAUACUUGAUUUCGGCGAUAUAAUGUCGGAGGCAAAGCGAAAGCAAUAAGUAUUCCACCUGGGGAGUACGCCAGCAACGGUGAAACUCAAAUGAUUUGACGGGG
rnacentral:rRNA from 1 species